AGUUGCUGAUUACUUAAAUAUUUACCAUAUCAUUUAAUGUGUUUUUCAGCUGCUAAUAUAAGCACAGAGAUGCUGUCCAGCCUCUCUAAGGAGGAUUUGCGAGCGCACUUCUUCAGAAGGUGAACCAUUUGGAGACAUACUCAUGAGGAAAAUGAGGGUCAAGAAUCAGACCUAUGCAGACCUCUUCCUCCAGUCCCCUCUCCUCUCAACCCACCCAUCACUCUCCAUCUCCUGACCCUUCUCCAAACGCAAGAAACCAACAUAGUGCCACUAGGACCAUACAGCUUGUCAGUCCACAGUAUGUCAUAUACACAGACACAGAGUUGGAGCAAUCAAGAAGCACCUUUUUUGAAAAACAGCAUGCUGGACAAGAGAGAGAGCAGAAGGGGAUGGCUUCCAGUAUUCAUGCACCCGUGAACUCACAGUCUCAGAGUACUACCCAAUGCUGUGGGACAAAUCUGCAGCCAGUGGAGCUGAGUGGUGAACCACUCACUUGCUAAAGGCUUUACCAGAUAAAGGCUGUUCCAAUCACCUGUGGCUCCACCCGAAGUUAGGACAUGCAAGUGAAGCUAUGUUUCACAUCCUUGAGUCUAAAGAAGAUCCAAACACCUUUCUUCAGACGAGACCACUCUUCAGCCCUGUCAUGAUUGUCUGUGAAACCAGUUGCUUACUGGCUACUGGAACCAUGCCUGUGGUAACCUUCCCGAAAGAGGACAUCUAUGCUAGCGUGAUGUAUCUCAUGGCAUGUUAUUGUGCCUUUCACCUCACAUAUCCUAAUCAGCACUGUUUAGAUUGGUUAUCUUGCCAUAGAUCUUAAUUUUCGUUUAUUUCCCCACUGAUGGCCGCUAUGUUGGUUAUGCUACAUUCUGAAUGUUAAUUGGUGGGUUUGUUUUAAUGUUUUCUGGCAUCUGAAACUACUGAGAGCCUAUAGAACCA